UACGUAGGGAGCAAGCGUUGUUCGGAAUUACUGGGCGUAAAGCGCACGUAGGCGGAUACUUAAGUCAGGGGUGAAAUCCCGGGGCUCAACCCCGGAACUGCCUUUGAUACUGGGUAUCUCGAGUCCGGAAGAGGUGAGUGGAAUUCCUAGUGUAGAGGUGAAAUUCGUAGAUAUUAGGAAGAACACCGGUGGCGAAGGCGGCCCACUGGAUCGGUACUGACGCUGGAGGUGCGAAAGCGUGGGGAGCAAACAGG
rnacentral:rRNA from 1 species